rnacentral:rRNA from 1 species
CCUACGGGGGGCAGCAGUGGGGAAUAUUGGACAAUGGGGGGAACCCUGAUCCAGCCAUGCCGCGUGUGUGAAGAAGGCCCUCGGGUUGUAAAGCACUUUCAGUGAGGAAGAACGCCUGGUGGUUAAUACCCAUCAGGAAAGACAUCACUCACAGAAGAAGCACCGGCUAACUCCGUGCCAGCAGCCGCGGUAAUACGGAGGGUGCGAGCGUUAAUCGGAAUUACUGGGCGUAAAGCGCGCGUAGGUGGCUUGAUAAGCCGGUUGUGAAAGCCCCGGGCUCAACCUGGGAACGGCAUCCGGAACUGUCAAGCUAGAGUGCAGGAGAGGAAGGUAGAAUUCCCGGUGUAGCGGUGAAAUGCGUAGAGAUCGGGAGGAAUACCAGUGGCGAAGGCGGCCUUCUGGACUGACACUGACACUGGGGUGCGAAAGCGUGGGUAGCAAACAGGAUUAGAUACCCUGGUAGUC